rnacentral:siRNA from 1 species
UGAUUUCUUGCUGAGAUUGUGGAG